CUGUGCUAGAUGGGGAGUUAGCGGUGCCCUGUAACCCGGAAUCCGCUAUACCGGGGUCGAAUUCCCACCCGAGGGCUUAGCGGUCGUUUGACUUCGACGGUUAAGCAGCGUUGAGGGUCGGGUCCUGUACAACGUAAGCCUGUGAACCCCGUCAGAACCGGAAGGUAGCAGCGGUAAGCAUAAUUUCUUAUGUGCCGUGGGAGUGCUUGGCUGGAGUUGGCUGCUGAGGCCAAUCCCGAGGAAAGAGGGAUCGAAGACAGGUGCACAG
rnacentral:SRP_RNA from 1 species